rnacentral:lncRNA from 1 species
AUGUAAUUCAAUUAGCUUUAUUUUGCAAAAGAGCUCCACAUACUGACUGUAAGAAUCAGCAAGCUCCCCAUUUUACAGAUCAAAAAGCUGAGAUCCAUCGAGGUUGAGAGAACUGGCUACACACAAUGUCACCCAGGACACCAGAACAGAGCUAGGACUUGCACCCAGGCUCAAUGUUCAUCCCGUUCCCAGGCACCUCUGCUUUCUCAAUACAAGAAAAGCAGGGCUCAUGGCAGAGUGGUGCAUGCAUGGCAAAUUGAGUCCAGCCCAAGGCUGGUUUCAUGGUGUCCAGGUCCCAGACCAACCCUGAAGGAAGGGUUUUCCAUUUCAGAGUAUGCUUGCCUCACAGCAGGGACUCAACACACACCCCCCUUAAUCCUUCAAACAAAAUAACAACAACAACAAUAAUAAUUGCCUAAGCGGGCUUGGGAUGGAGAGCAGGAUUUGUAAGUAGGCUUGUUUUCAUAAAACACUUCUGUAUUUAGCAAUAAUAUUAUGAGAACAGCAAUAAAGUUAGGAAAAGUGGGCCGACAACACAACUUUAGAAGAGUGUAUUAUGCAGAAACAAAGGGGUCUGGGGGCUCCCAGCUGCCCUCAAGUUUAAAUCUACUGUGUUCUGGCCAAGGAUGAAAUGCCUGCUCCCUGCUUGUUUCCAGAUGCCAGGCCCACUAACAAAGGCGCACUUGUUUCUUGGGACACGUGCCUUGCUGCAUUUUCAGGGAGAGGUUGAGGCCACAGUCAGCCGCCGCUCCCCGGAAGAUGGCCUGCGUCAUGUGGCUGUGCUUCCUCCGGUCCUGCGACCUACCUAGCAGCGAUUCUUUUUUUUUUUUCUUUCUUUUUUUUUUUUGUCUGCCCACAGUAGUGAUUCUUUUUUUGUUGUUUUUGGCCUGAGAUGAAGCUUGCUAAGGCAGGUGGGACCCAGCACCCCCUAGGCUGGGGGCUCCCAGCUGUGUGCAGAGGUGGUCUUUCCCACUCCAGACGCCCCAUUGUGGCUGCCCUGCCCUCUAACCCUGGGAGGGCCAGGGCCCCGGAGUGGGUGCACUGCAAUGAAGAUAGAAAAACAGAUCUGCACAGAAGUCUCUGUGUCUUGGUGCAGGUUGGCACAGCCAUGGGAUCUGUGCAUGUUAUUAGGGUUGCUGAGAGAGGCGCGCCCAAGGCCACAUUGGUGAAGCAAGCAAUUUAUGAAGGCAUCGGGGGGACGGGCUGAGCUCAGGAUGGUGCCAGCCCAACUGUGAGGAGAUGCCAGGCUUAUAAAGGACCGGCGGUUGGAGUUUACGGCUGGAACUUGUGGUGGGAACAGUGACGAAGGGGGAGCAGGGGAGGGUCAGGGGACGGGUAGGGGGCAGUGAAUCCUGGCAGGUGGUUAAUCUCUGCAGGCAGUUGUUUUCCACAGGCCAUUGUUUCUUGCUGCCCAACUUGAGCCUCCACAAUCUGGGAAGGGAUGCAGGUCUUGUGCCGGCAGGACCCAUGUCUCCAAGGAGACGUCUCCAAGGUGAACAACCACAUUUGAGGUGGGGCGUGGUCUGUCUCCAUCCUUCUGGGAACCUAUCACAUACGCUCUCCCUUCCGACGGGACGGACACUCAUCAGGGUCCCUUGUGGUGGCAGAGCUGCAGCUCCUGGCAUCUGCCUGCCUCACCCUUGGGUCCUGUCUGCCCUGGAUAACCUGUGGGUGCCUGCCGCCCACGUGACCUCCCUCUGGAUGCCCCGCCUCCUCCCUGGCGCCUUCACAUCUGUCAUUCCCACAGCACAGAUGCACCACAACCUCGCCUGUCCCUGCAUCCCUCGCAUCUUUUAGGAUCCGGUGUCAUUCCCACAAAGCCUUCCCUGGCCUCAGCUCCCCUGUGGAACUGGUGGCCUCUGUCUAGGCUGCCAGAAUCUGGCAGGCAGGGCCCCCUCUGGGCCUUAUCCUUCUGUUCCAUGAUCCUGUGGUUGGGUGGCCGUUCCUUGUACAAUGCUUCGAUCGCCUAUUGGACAAGGACUGCAUCUAUUCAUUUUUCUGUUCUGAAGGUGGAGCUGGGAGCCUGCAAUGCGUGAGGUGCUCCUGGGCACUGAGUGACCAUGUGUAUGAAUGGGGUGGCAUGCGAGGCAGCAGAGGGUCUUUCUGAGCAGGGACCACAGCAGGGCAGAGCAUCUUGUAUCAGGAUUUUGCUUUUGAUGGCUUAGGAGAGGGGUCAGCAACCUUUUUCUACAAAGGUCAGCUAGUAAAUUUCCAGCUUUGUGGGCCAGAUGAUGUCUUCUGUACCCACCCAUCUUGGUACAGAAAGCACCCAUAGGUGACAGGCAAACAAAGGGCCAUGGUCUUGGCCCACUCAAACUGUCUUUACAAACGCAGGCCCGCGGUUAGGUCUAGCUCCCUGGCCAGAGUUUGCCCGACCUGGCUGAGGGUUUGGAACAGAACGGCCUGCUCUUAUUAGGGUGGAUUUUCCCUUGUCGGCUGAAGGUCAUUACAGUCCAUUCUUGCCUGUUGACCAGCUCCUGGGGGAGGUUCGGGGGCAGGCGUGCUGGCCCUCGGGUUAGUCUCUCCUGCUCUUUGGGCAGGCGUAGUAAAGGUCUCAGAACUUUCUUCCAGCCCUCUGGGUAGCUUUCUCAGCAUCUUCUGUGUCUCAUCACCCAGUUAACCGCCCUGGGUAAUUCUAAGAUGGACUCAUCCUCACUAGAACUGGAAAAAUGGGUGGGGUAGGCUCUGGUUAUGUGGGGUCUCCUGGUGCAUCUGCUAAGUUGGCUUUACCCACCCCCAGCCUCAUCCCUGCAUCUUCCACGCAGAACAAUGACGACCCUCUCCCACCCGUCUAAGGCUGCAUCGUAAAACGCACAAUCCGAAAAGCAGCCACAGUCCUGCUUUUGCUCAAGGGCAGAGCUCUCCUCUGUGGUACUUGGCAAAAGCAGGGGCAGCUGGAGCCUCCCUCACCCCCUGGCUCGUACCCUGGGCCAAGAGGACACAUCCGGCAGAAAGAUUCAGUAGCUGGGCCCCCUGGACCGCUCUCUCUGUGUCUGUGUGGUUUCUCCAUGCCAUCCCUCCAGCACUGUGACUUCUUAAAAGCUAAUCAUCAUCUCACCUUCUGCGAGGCGGAAUGUUUUUGCCGGUGAAGGGUCUCGCCUUGUUGUUGAUGGCUGCUGACUGAUCAGGUUGGUGGUGGCUGAAGGCGGCAGUGGCUACGGCAAUUUCUUAAAAUAUGACAUCAGUGAAGUUUGCGGUAUCAAUUGACUCUUUCUUUCAUGAACGAUUUCUCUGUAGGACGCAAUACCAUUUGAGAGUAUUUACCCAUAGUAGAACUUCUUUCAAAAUUGGAGUCAAUCAUUUCAAAUCCUGCCACUGCUUUAUCAUCUAAAUUUAGGUAAUAUUCUAGGUCUCUUGUUAUCAUUUCACCAAUCUUCACAGCAGCUUCACCAGGAGGAGAUUCCAUCUCAAGGAACCACUUUCUCUGCUCAUCCAUAAGAAGCAGCUCCUCAUCUAUUCGAGUUUUAUCAGGAGAUGCAGCAAUUCCGCCCCCUCUUCAGGGUCCACGUCUCAUUCCAGUUCUCUUGCUGUUUCCGCCACAUCUGCAGUUACCUCCUCCACUGAAGUCUUGAACCCUCAAAGUCGUCCACGAGAGUUGCAAUCGACUUCUUCCAACCUCCUGCGAAUGUUGGUAUUUUGACUUCUUCCCAUGAGCUGUGGUUGUUCUCAACGGCAUCUAGAGUGGAGAAUCCUUUCCAGAAGGUUUUCAGUUUACUCUACCCAGGUCCAUCAGAGGAAUCACUAUUGAUGGCUGUUAUAGCCUUAUGAGAUGAAUUCCUUAAUAAUAAGUCUUGAAAGUCAAAAUUGCUCCUUCAUCCAUGGGCUGCAGAGUGGAUGUUGCAUUGACAGGUAUGAAAACAACAUGAAUCUCUUUGCCCAUCUCCGUCAGAGCUCCUGGGUAACCCAGUGCAUUGUCAGUGAGAAGUAAUAUUUUGUUUUUUGGUUUUUGUUUUUGUUUUUUUGGUCCACGGCAUAUGGAGGUUCCCUCCCAGGCUAGGGGUCUAAUCGGGGCUAUUGCUGCCCACCUACGCCAGAGCCACAGCAACGCCAGAUCCGAGCUGCGUCUGCAACCUACACAACAGCUCAUGGCAACGCUGGAUCCUUAACCCACUGAGCGAGGCUAGGGAUUGAACCCGCAACCUCACGGUUC